GCCGAGGUGGCGGAAUUGGCAGACGCGCAGGACUUAAAAUCCUGUUCCCGUCAAUUCGGGAGUGAGGGUUCGAUUCCCUCUCUCGGCA
rnacentral:tRNA from 1 species